rnacentral:rRNA from 1 species
GACGAACGCUGGCGGCGUGCCUAAUACAUGCAAGUCGAACGAAGCUGUUUUAACUGGUGCUUGCACCGACUUAAACAACUGAGUGGCGAACGGGUGAGUAACACGUGGGUAACCUGCCCCAAAGCGGGGGAUAACAUUUGGAAACAGAUGCUAAUACCGCAUAACCACAGAAACCACAUGGUUUCUGUGUCAAAGAUGGUUUCGGCUAUCACUUUGGGAUGGACCCGCGGCGUAUUAGCUAGUUGGUAAGGUAAUGGCUUACCAAGGCAAUGAUACGUAGCCGAACUGAGAGGUUGAUCGGCCACAUUGGGACUGAGACACGGCCCAAACUCCUACGGGAGGUAGCAGUAGGGAAUCCUCCACAAUGGACGAAAGUCUGAUGGAGCAACGCCGCGUGAGUGAAGAAGGUUUUCGGAUCGUAAAACUCUGUUGUCAGAGAAGAACGUGUGCGAGAGUAACUGCUCGUGCAGUGACGGUAUCUGGCCAGAAAGCCACGGCUAACCACGUGCCAGCCGCCGCGGUAA